AGAGUUUGAUCAUGGCUCAGGAUGAACGCUGGCGGCGUGCCUAAUACAUGCAAGUCGAGCGGCAGCGCGAAUAGUUUACUAUUUGGCGGCGAGCGGCGGACGGCUGAGUAACACGUAGGAACGUACCCCAAAGUGAGGGAUAAGCACCAGAAAUGGUGUCUAAUACCGCAUGUGCUCUAAGGAGUAAAGCUUCGGCGCUUUGGGAACGGCCUGCGUCCGAUUAGCUUGUUGGUGAGGUAAAAGCUCACCAAGGCGACGAUCGGUAGCUGGUCUGAGAGGAUGAUCAGCCAGACUGGGACUGAGACACGGCCCAGACUCCUACGGGAGGCAGCAGUAGGGAAUUUUCCACAAUGGGCGAAAGCCUGAUGGAGCAACGCCGCGUGCAGGAUGAAUGCCUUCGGGUUGUAAACUGCUUUUAUAUGUGACGAUUAUGACGGUAGCAUAUGAAUAAGGAUCGGCUAACUCCGUGCCAGCAGCCGCGGUCAUACGGAGGAUCCAAGCGUUAUCCGGAAUUACUGGGCGUAAAGAGUUGCGUAGGUGGCAUAGUAAGUAGAUAGUGAAAGAGUUCGGCUCAACCGGAUAGACAUUAUCUAAACUGCUAAGCUAGAGGAUGAGAGAGGUUAUUGGAAUUCCCAGUGUAGGAGUGAAAUCCGUAGAUAUUGGGAGGAACCCGAUGGCGUAGGCAGAUAACUGGCUCAUUCCUGACACUAAGGCACGAAAGCGUGGNNACAAACGGGAUUAGAUACCCUAGUAGUCC
rnacentral:rRNA from 1 species